GACCAUGUGCUGGAGGAACUGGUCGCUGGCAAAGGAGAAAUUUAAGUAACAGUUCCACCAAUCAUCAAACUCAGUGGUCGUCAGAAAAGAUUGCUGGAACCGAAAAACUGGGAGUUCAUAGCGGUUGUUGGAUCGACAAAAACGAAGGCAGGCCCUGUGGUCAUUAGCCGUCAGUGAUCGACCAGACUAAAUGAUGUCGGUAUCAUGAGAUACUAGAGACUUUU
rnacentral:lncRNA from 1 species